CAUUGCGGUGGCUUCUCUUGUGGAGCUCGGGCUCUAGGCACGCAGGCUCAGUAGUUGUGACACACGGGCUUAGUUGCUCUGCAGGCAGGCGGGAUCUUCCAGGACCAGGGCUCGAACCCAUGUCCCCUGCAUUGGCAGGUGGAUUCUUAACCACUGCGCCACCAGGGAAGUCCCAAGGCAAUUUUUAAACUAGAGAAAAACAGUCUUUUAUGUUACGUGUUUAUUCUUUCUAGUUACUUUGUGUGUAGAUUUGAAUUUCCUUUAGGUUUCAUUUAUCUUCUGCCUGAAGCACUUCCUUUAACGUUUCAUGUAAUCCAAGUGUGGUAGCAGUGGAGUUUUUAAGCUGUUGUUUGUCUUAAUGUCUUUAUUUUGCCCAUAUUUUUGAAAGAUAUUUUCACUGGCAUGGAAUUCUAGGUUGACUUUUUUUCAUUCAGCAUUUGAAAAGGUAUUGUCUCUUGGUUUGCAUUGUUCUUGAUAAGAUGUGUUUGUUCAUUGUUAACCUAGUUUCUCCUGUAAUCGGGAAGAGCCUUUGUAUCCUAUUACCAGUUAAUCACUAAAGGGGUGCUGCCUAUAAGCUUAAACUCUACAUAACGGCCCAUCUCUGGGAGCCCUGCCUCCCAGGUAAUGAGCAUUCAGCUCAAACACCUGUGUUUAGCCCCCAGGGAACCUCCUGACCCCGCCCACCUGUGAAUGCCUGCACGAGGGAGAAAUUAACACCUCCCCUCCGGAGGCUGAUGGGAACCAGGAAGUGCUUGGCUUUAGUCCCGCCCCUUGUAGUAUAAAAGGAGCCUGACUGCUGACGCAGGCACGACGGCUCCUUGGGGGCGCGAGCCCACCGUCUUCUUGGUGUGCUGGCUUUCUGGAUAAAGUCGCUAUUCUUUGCCCCAGCAACUCGCCUCUGAAUUUAUUGGCCGGUCGUGUGGUGAGCAGGACGAGCUUGGACUCGGUAAUACCGUCAUUCAGACUCUCUGGAGUCUGCAAGAUGUUUCCUUACAUAAGCAUCUCUUUUUAAAGCUAGUAUUUUUCCCACGUGGGGUAACACCUUAAACGCUGAGAUUAACGACUCGGCAGGGAAAUGGGGAAUAAAGAGGGUAAAUAAGGAAUCGGGCGGCCCCGGCGAGCACUCCAGGCGUUGGUGCGGAGGCUGGCCGCCCUCUCCUUCUGUCAUCUCGCCCGGGCGUGCCAAGCGGCUUCCUGAUGCCGGAGGUCAGCGCCCUCAGCAGCUGCAGGCGCGCUUUCUGGGCACCAGCCUGUGCUGACCUGCCAGGCGCUCAACGCCAAGUGUUGUGGACGAACGGCUUCCCUCUCGCUUGGAAGGACUCAGGGACGCCAGGGCUCCCCCAGCUGGGCCGGCCUCACAGGGAGGCAGGGCAGCCUCGGACUCCGGCCGCUUUCCUCUGGGCCUCACCCUCCUCCUGGUCCGCUUGGGCAGCAGCACCGCCUGCCUGCUCCCCAGAUUUCACACGGGAGCCCAAGGGGCGUCGGAGGGCUCCCAGGAGCCCCAGAAGCCGCCGGAGUGGGCGGCCCCAGGAGGAGCAGCUGGACAUGGCCCUGCCCUUGACCAUCGCGGAGCAGGUGUUUCUGUUUCCUGUCAGGCCUUCUGGGUGCAGUUCUGCCUGAGUGGGGCCGGUGCCCUAGUUCUGGGGCUUCAUCUCAACCCCCUCUAGUCCCACACUGAGUAGCCUUUGUCAGCAGUAAAGGGACACUCACCUUCCAGCAGCUGCGUUUUCACUUUGUUUCUCCAGAACUUCGGGGGAGGAAGCUGACCCUCGGGGCAGCCGUCCUGAGCGUGGAGGAACGGCACCAAGGAUGGUGCCGGCCAGGUGAGCCCGGGCGAGGCUUCGUGGGGCCAGGUGCUCGGCCUACCCCGGGCUCCCGGGUCACCACUGCAGACCUGGAACCUCCCCUCUCGGGACCUGAGGCCGCCGUGCCGGGGCCGGGGCCCUGGGGUGGUUUACUUGUGCGGUUGUCUCCUCCCGGGGGCCUGGGCAGGAGAACUGGAGGUUUGGGGGCACGCGGCUUUGACCUCGUGGGUGACCACGGCCUGCGGUGGCUCUGUCCACACAAGCAACCCUUUCCACAGAGGCAGGAAUUUAAGCAAAGGCUGCUUGGGCCUCCCUCACUGAGGCACAGGCCACAUGCAGGCACCUGAGAGUGGGUGGGCCUUGUGGAGGACCUUGACCUUGACCCCAGACCACAGUUAGAUAGGCCUGGGGGCAGCAGAGCCUGAGCACAAGCCAGUUAACGAAAGGGCAGUGGUUGAGGCCGGAGGGGGCAGGCGGGACAGAGCCCAGGACACACCUUCGGGAGCCGAGAUUCUUUGCUCGGUGAGACCCUCGAGCCUGCCCGGUGGCCGACCCCCUCCCGUCAUCGGUGGGCAGCUGUGCCAUGACCCUGUGGACUCCUGGUCCCCGAGCUCUGGCCACAGCUGCAUGUGGACUUGCUGCAGACACAGCCGUGUCACCUGUGAGGACUGAGGCCCAGCCCAUCUUUAUUUUUUGCCUCCUGAGGGGGCUGCCAGCUCCGGUGACGUGUCUAAUGGAAGGGGACGAUUGUGCCAGCCUUGCUUGCCCCCAGCCUUAAAGGUGCUUUCAGUGUUUCAUCGUAAGUGUGACGCCUGCGCUGGUUACUGUUUGCGGAUACCCUUUAUCAAGUUAAGGAAGUUUCCUUCUAUUUGAUAUUCUAAGAGUCUUUUUUUUGUUUUGUUUUCUUAAAUCUCAAAGAUGCUAAAUUUUAUCAAUAUUUUCUGAUUCUAUAGGGAUGACCAUAUGAUUUUUCUUUUAACGUUCAUGCUGAGUUAACACUAGUUAAUUUUCUAAUGUUCAAACGUCAUUGCCUUCCUGGAUAUGAGGAAAUAUCUUUUUAAAUAUAUGUUCCUGGAUUCAGUUUGUUAGUAAUUUGUUUAGGAUUUUUGCGUGUUUGUUUAUGUAUGAGAUUAGACUAUGAUUGUCCUUUCUCAGAAUGUCUUUAUUAGGCUUUGAAAUGAAAACCAUGUUGGUCUUGUAAAAUGAGUUUGGGAUGUUUCUUUUAUCCAUUUUUAGGGAAUGUAUUUGUUUCCUAUUGCUGCUGUAACGAAUUACCACAAAUGUAGUGGCUUUAAACAGCACAGAUUUAUUUAUCGUACGAUGUUGGUAGUCAGAACCGGACUAAAAUCUAAGUGUCAGGCACAGCUGUGCCCUCUGGAGCCUCCAGGGGAGGAUCCCCGUCUGCCGUUUCCAGCCCCUGGAAGCGCCCGCGUUCCGAGGCUUAUGGCCUCUUACGCAUCGCAACCAGCAGUGCUGCCCCUCCGACCCUGCUUCGCCAGCCACACGUCCCUCCAGCGGCCCCCCGAGACCACCCAGAACCACCCCCCGGUCUCAGGCCCUCUGCAGCCUGCUGCCAGUGCAACUCUUCUAAAAUAAAAUCUUAUGUGGAAUCCCAGAUAUAUGAAGUGAAUUCAGGAGUCACACUGCGGGCGUGCACGUGUGGCGAGUCUUCCUCACAGCAGAGUCACUAGCAGCCCAAGGUGACGGCCCUUCUUUUCACCUCCGGGUCUGAGGCUCUGGGGGUGGAUACAUCAACGGACAAAACAGAGAUCCACUCCCUGGAAGAGCUUAUGUGAAAAGAUCAUACAUGAGAAUUCCUUCUUCCCCAAAACCAUAAAAUCCAGAGGCCAAUUAAAUCCACCCAAAACUGUGUGGAUUUACUUCUCCAUAGUUCAAAAGUGGAAAGCUGUCAUCAUGGGCAAUGUUGUGUUCUCCUACCUUUUUGAAGGAGACUUACAAUAUCCUGAAAAUAUCAGUCUGAAAUACGAUGUGGUCGUAAACCUGAGGGCUGCCCUUUGGGGCACGGGAGAACCUGAGCUCCCCACGCGGAGGGGCUGGGUGCUCAACAGAGGGAGCAAGCAGGCAAAGUGAUGAGGACAUUUAAGUGGGAGAAGUAAAGUGAAAACAAGAAAGGAAGAAAACCUUAUCUUCUAGGACUUCGGUUGCGUUGUCUUUAACACAUACCCCAGACCUACAAGCCUUGGGACCAUCCUCCACCUGCUACCAAGGCCGCCCCGAUGCACGGGGGCCCUCUCUACCUUCCUCUGCAUCUUUACGUCCACCACUCGUUUCACAAGCUCUGACAUCAAAGCACAGGAGUUCCAAUCGAUAGCCUGGUUCCCUUAUUAAAAUAAAAAUUCUCAUAAAAUCAUUAUCAGAAUUUGUUUUUAAAAAGUAAACCUAAGAAUUUUUUUUUUAUCAACUGUUAUGUCUGUGACUCCCCAAUACACAGCCUCUGUCAGGCAUGAAAUGUGACCUAACUAACGGGGGGAGGGGUGGUCAGCAGUCACUAGACGUGCCCUGGAGCAGCCAGUGUCCCCAGGUCGCUGACCCUCACGUGCUGUAGCAAAUUUUUAUUUCGUUCGUUCAUUCACUUCAGACUCUCACUCCAGGAUGCACGGAGCACGGAACACGCGCCAGGUGCCCUUCUAGCUGCUGGGGAAUCAGUCAGCACAGCAAGAGGGACGAGCUCUCUGCUCUCAAGGAACUGACGUGCAGGAGCAGACGGGAGCAAGGAGACAGGGUGGCGCGCCCUGAAGGCCGGGCACUGAGACGGGCGGGGGGCGGGGGGCGCUUACUU